UGGUGGAGUAAUAGCCUACCAAGGCAAUGAUCUAUAGCUGAUCUGAGAGGAUGAUCAGCCACACUGGAACUGAGAUACGGUCCAGACUCCUACGGGAGGCAGCAGUGGGGAAUAUUGGACAAUGGGCGAAAGCCUGAUCCAGCCAUGCCGCAUGAGUGAAGAAGGCCUUUGGGUUGUAAAGCUCUUUUAGUGAGGAAGAUAAUGACGGUACUCACAGAAGAAGUCCUGGCUAACUCCGUGCCAGCAGCCGCGGUAAUACGGAGAGGGCUAGCGUUAUUCGGAAUUAUUGGGCGUAAAGGGCGCGUAGGCUGAUUAAUAAGUUAAAAGUGAAAUCCCGAGGCUUAACCUUGGAAUUGCUUUUAAAACUAUUAAUCUAGAGAUUGAAAGAGGAUAGAGGAAUUCCUGAUGUAGAGGUAAAAUUCGUAAAUAUUAGGAGGAACACCAGUGGCGAAGGCGUCUAUCUGGUUCAAAUCUGACGCUGAAGCGCGAAGGCGUGGGGAGCAAACAGGAUUAGAUACCCUGGUAGUCCACGCUGUAAACGAUGAAUGUUAAAUAUGGGAAGUUUACUUUCUGUAU
rnacentral:rRNA from 1 species